CGUUCGGAAUAAUCAAGCGCCGCUGCGAACGUUUUCCAUUCCCCUCUCCCUCCAGCGCCCAAAUCGAUCCCCACCCGCUGCCGUAAGCAGUCCUCCCUGCGGGACAUGGGAGAGAGCGACCAAGCGUCAGCGCACGAGGAGGUCAUACGCCGGCGACGCGGCGGGCUGGCUCUACCCUCGCCGGAGUCGCGGCGCGUCGGAGACGAGGCAGGCGGCGUCGGGUAGCAGCUCUUCCGGGACCCAACAUCGGGACGCGGCGGGCCCGCGACGAGGCGGGCUGGCUCUGCCCUUGCCUGAGUCGCAGCGCGGCGGGGACGAGGCGUGCUUGCUGUGCCCUCGCUGGAGUCGCGACACGACGGAGACGAGGCGGGCGGCGUCGGGGAGGAGCUCUUCCGGGACCCAACAUCGGGACGCGGGCCGGCGACGAGGCCGGCUGAUCUGUCCUCGCCGGAGUCGCGAUGCGACGGAGAUGAGGCGAGCGGCGGCGGGGAGAAGCUCCAUCGGUGGUGCAGGGGCCGGAUCUGGCAGAAAAUCAGGCCGAAGGCCGCCGACGCGAUGGGAGAAGGGGCGGGGAAGAGGCGGAGGCUCGCCAGACGAGCUCGGCGUCAGCACCAGCACGCUCGUCGGGGAGUGCGUCGAGCAGCAGCAGGCUCGAUGGAGAAGGGCGGCAUGCAGGGGAGAGGCGGAGGCUCACCACCAGCACGCUCGCCGGGGAGUUCGGCAAGCAGCAGCCCACCACCAGCAGGCUCGCUGGGAUUCAUUCACCUCUUCUGCACUGUGAGCUACACCAAUCAAUUUUCACUCAAACGGAGCACAGAACUUGUAAAACCGAUGGCAAUUUAUGGUGUGCUUCCCAUGGCAACUUAAGUUUCGAUGUGUGCAAAUUAUGAUAUGUUUUGCAUGGCAAAAAUAUUGAGGCACUUUGCCAUGUUGUUUUUCAUAUAA